rnacentral:lncRNA from 1 species
CAAAAAGCCUCUCAGUCUUUGAACAUUUCAUAUCAGUGAGAUUUUCUCUUCCCGGAAGGUACAAGUUCCUAACUGAUUUGAGCUGAAAGUAGACAAUCAGAAAAGCGGAUCAAGUCAGAUGCCUGCCUCCUCUGCUGGCUCCUUGCUCAGCUGUGUGUCACAUGUGAUUGGUGGCUCCUGGGUCACAUGGCCACCCCGUGGGUUCUUGUGGCUGGUAUUUAAAUAGCUUGCACCUGGGAAGGUGGACUUGCGAUGUUGGAGACCGUGUGGAGGGUUCCCAGUGGCUGUCAGGACAUGGGUGCCACCAGCCCUGACUUCAGCACUGAGCCCGCCUCACCCCCUCCCCUCCAGCGGAAGCCACUUUCCUAGAGAGGUCGGGCGCAGCCUCUGCCUCUUGCUUGGACUCCAUACUCCACGUGUCCGUCCCCUGUCCCCUUCGUCUGCGCAGACACCGGUGUGCGCAUCCCAGCGCUGGCCGAGAAGUGUACCUGGAGACCUCGUGCUGGCUCCCACCGUUGCUCCCACACACAGCCAGGUUUCCUAUCUCUGCUUCUCGUCUCACUUCUUGACCUGGGAUGCAAAGCUGUGUUUUCUGAAAAUCUGGGCACCACCCAGCGAGCCUUCCUGCCCUUCUUACAGGAAGCCAGAUGUCCAGCGUGGCCUUCGGGUCUGGAAUCCAGGAGCACGGGGAGGGUCUGUGUCCUCAGCCUCUCCAGCAUCCCCGGGCUCGCGGCGCCUUCCUCUACCUUCAACGCUGCAACUUCGGCCAGUCCCUCACUUUUGCUCUCUAACCCCU